rnacentral:rRNA from 1 species
GAUGAACGCUAGCUACAGGCUUAACACAUGCAAGUCGAGGGGAAACGGCAUUGAGUGCUUGCACUCUUUGGACGUCGACCGGCGCACGGGUGAGUAACGCGUAUCCAACCUUCCCAUUACUGUGGGAUAACCUGCCGAAAGGCAGACUAAUACCGCAUAGUCUUCGAUGACGGCAUCAGAUUUGAAGUAAAGAUUUAUCGGUAAUGGAUGGGGAUGCGUCUGAUUAGCUUGUUGGCGGGGUAACGGCCCACCAAGGCAACGAUCAGUAGGGGUUCUGAGAGGAAGGUCCCCCACAUUGGAACUGAGACACGGUCCAAACUCCUACGGGAGGCAGCAGUGAGGAAUAUUGGUCAAUGGACGGAAGUCUGAACCAGCCAAGUAGCGUGCAGGAUGACGGCCCUAUGGGUUGUAAACUGCUUUUGUAUGGGGAUAAAGUUAGGGACGUGUCCCUAUUUGCAGGUACCAUACGAAUAAGGACCGGCUAAUUCCGUGCCAGCAGCCGCGGUAAUACGGAAGGUCCAGGCGUUAUCCGGAUUUAUUGGGUUUAAAGGGAGCGUAGGCUGGAUAUUAAGUGUGUUGGUAAAUGUAGACCGUCCACGUCUGAUUUGGAGCUCAUUUCGGGUUCCUUGGGGUCGCCCAACG